rnacentral:rRNA from 1 species
GAAUUGACGGGGAGCACCACAACGGGUGGAGCCUGCGGUUUAAUUGGACUCAACGCCGGGCAGCUCACCGGAUAAGACAGCUGGAUGAUAGCCGGGCUGAAGACUCUGCUUGACUAGCUGAGAGGAGGUGCAUGGCCGUCGUCAGUUCGUACUGUGAAGCAUCCUGUUAAGUCAGGCAACGAGCGAGACCCACGCCAACAGUUGCCAGCAUGUCCUCCGGGAUGAUGGGGACACUGUUGGACCGCCUCUGCUAAAGAGGAGGAAGGAAUGGGCAACGGUAGGUCAGUAUGCCCCGAAUAUCCCGGGCUACACGCGAGCUACAAUGGUUGGUACAAUGGGUAUCUACCCCGAAAGGGGACGGGAAUCUCCUAAAACCAAUCUUAGUUCGGAUUGAGGGCUGCAACUCGCCCUCAUGAAGCUGGAAUCCGUAGUAAUCGCGUUUCAACAGAACGCGGUGAAUACGUCCCUGCUCCUU